UCCCAAACCCCUGUGAACAUACCUAUCGUUGCUUCGGCGGAUCCGCCCCGGUGCCUUCGGGCCCGGACUCAGGCGCCCGCCGGGGGACCCAAACUCUUGUAUUUCUUUAGUAUCUUCUGAGUAAACAAGCAAAUAAAUUAAAACUUUCAACAACGGAUCUCUUGGUUCUGGCAUCGAUGAAGAACGCAGCGAAAUGCGAUAAGUAAUGUGAAUUGCAGAAUUCCCGUGAAUCAUCGAAUCUUUGAACGCACAUUGCGCCCGCCAGUAUUCUGGCGGGCAUGCCUGUUCGAGCGUCAUUUCAACCCUCAAGCCCCCGGGCUUGGUGUUGGGGCUCGGCCCGUCCCUAGCGGCGCGCCGUCCCCGAAAUCUAGUGGCGGUCACGCUGUACUCCUCUGCGUAGUAAUCUAACCUCGCAACGGGACAAAGCGCGGCCACGCCGUUAAACCCCCAACUUCUGAAGGUUGACCUCGGAUCAGGAGGAA
rnacentral:rRNA from 1 species